CACAAUCCUGGAUCCUUCUCCCCACCCAGGGAGGGGGAGUAAGGGGACCCUCCCCUGCAGACAGCAAGAGCCUGUCUCCCCUCCACUGUCUUGUCAGGGGACCCAGGACGGGAGGCUGCCCCCCUCUUUCUCCUCAAUCCAGCCAGCUGUCCCUGAUGGGUCCUCCUGUGUCUGUACCCAGGUGCCCUGAUGGGAAGAUCAUGGUUAUGGACUGUACCCCCUGGAGCAACAUCAAUUGUGUGGACCAAGAAUCAGGUACCCCGGCCCAAUGGGGAGGCUCCAGUUCCUGGAGAGCAACCAUGAGCCAGAGACUACCCAUUACUCCCUCUCCCUCCUCAGGCCCUCCUUCAAGGCUGAUGAUUGCAAUAAUUGUAAUUGGACUUGUAAUCACGCUGUCCUAAUCGGAUGUAUGGUAUGGUGCCUGCUUGAAAGGUCUCUUUAAUGAGUGCUGGCACAAGGUGAUCGGUUUCUCCAGCAUCUGGCGGCCUCAGACCCUCAGUAACUGCAUCACAACAAAGCCCAGGGUGGACACGGAAAAGAAGCUGACAGAAGACAACGCCCAGUCCCGAGAUGCAGCAAGCAGACUGCCUGUUGGUGAGUGUGGGGCUCUGGCCCUUCUGCUUGCUUGGGACUGUGGUAGAGACAGGGAGAGGCAAUGGGUCAGGUCUCCUCUUCUCUGGGGAGGUGGUGAUGGAGGGAGACCGGGGCAUGGAGGGAAGGGAGCCCACCCCCUGCUCUGGAGAGAGACCAGGGCAUGGAGGGGAAGGGAGCCCACCCCCUGUUCUGUUCCACUGGCAGCUCUGAUGCUACUUCUCAUCUGUCUUGUCACCACAUCCCUGUCUAGAACAGGGCAGGCGAAGAGUAAUCACUCCUCCCAUGACUGA
rnacentral:lncRNA from 1 species